UACGUAGGGGGCAAGCGUUGUCCGGAAUCAUUGGGCGUAAAGCGCGCGUAGGCGGCCCUGUAAGUCCGUUGUGAAAGUCAAAGGCUCAACCUUUGAAAGCCGAUGGAUACUGCAGGGCUAGAGUCCGGAAGAGGCGAGUGGAAUUCCUGGUGUAGCGGUGAAAUGCGCAGAUAUCAGGAGGAACACCGGUGGCGAAGGCGGGUCUCUGGGCCGAUACUGACGCUGAGGAGCGAAAGCGUGGGGAGCGGACAGG
rnacentral:rRNA from 1 species